AUCCUGAAAUUGGAAAGAUGGGGUUGCAGUGGUUGGAGAGUUGAGUGCUUCUAGAGCCAUUUGAAUGUUUUUGAACCUCUGUUAAUCGAUCUGAAGGUAGAAAAAGAGGGUGAAGACCUGGCGUUGUGCGCAGAGAAGAAAGGAGGAAAGAAUAGUGUGAGAGUUAAUGAGUAUGGUGAGGAGUUAAGGUGGCUUUAUAAAGGACAAGAGUGGAGACAGGAGCGGGAAGUUGCG
rnacentral:misc_RNA from 1 species